rnacentral:rRNA from 1 species
UGGGGAAUCUUCGGCAAUGGGGGCAACCCUGACCGAGCCAUGCCGCGUGAGUGAUGAAGGCCUUAGGGUCGUAAAGCUCUUUCGCCAGGGAUGAUAAUGACAGUACCUGGUAAAGAAACCCCGGCUAACUCCGUGCCAGCAGCCGCGGUAAUACGGAGGGGGUUAGCGUUGUUCGGAAUUACUGGGCGUAAAGCGCACGUAGGCGGACCAGUUAGUCAGAGGUGAAAUCCCGGGGCUCAACCUCGGAACUGCCUUUGAUACUGCUGGUCUUGAGUCCGAGAGAGGUGAGUGGAAUUCCGAGUGUAGAGGUGAAAUCCGUAGAUAUUCGGAGGAACACCAGUGGCGAAGGCGGCUCACUGGCUCGGUACUGACGCUGAGGUGCGAAAGCGUGGGGAGCAAACAGGAUUAGAUACCCCCGUAGUCC